CCCCCCCCCCCAUGCUUUGGCAGAGGGCAUCUUCCCUUGGUACUCUCUUCCGAGGCUUCAUUGUCCUGUUCUGCUCCCCUCUCCGGACUCCCCACAAAAGGUGUGAACAGGUCCCUCCAUCCUCUGGACAAGAGGCUGAAAAGCAAAUUGCUCCGGAAAGAACUGGUUUUGCAUCUUCAAGAAGAGUAGGAAGCCAAUAACCAGAGGGAAAACAAUUUUCUUAAGGAACCUUUGAGUUCUUCCAAGCCUGGAAAUUCGUUGAGUGAGUGGACGGACAAAUGAAUAAGUUGUUCCCACCAGGUACAGAGACAGGACUAGAUCCCUGUCCUUGUUUCCGAUGGAGAAGUCACCUCUGGGACAGCAUAUGAAUUGCCUCAGGUCACUCAGACCCAGCGGGCCGGGCAGGGUAAAAGCCACAGCAGCAAGUGCGCGCGCAAGACCUAGGGGCGUCCACGCCUUCCCUGUAGUUCCCCACGGUUCCCGCGCGACCGACGCCUGGAGAAGGCCUGGUGAGUCAAAUGACCCAGGAAAAGUCCCUGUCACACCUAGAAUCUCUAGAAAGCUAUUUCAGAGGAACCAGAACUGCAAGGCCCUAAGGAGACAGCUGAGCACAGAGGAACCGCCUACUGCGUGCAGAGGACAAGCAUCAGGCAUACGUACACCAUGUACAGAAGUGUCACCAGAAGCCUGGGCUCACGUCAAACUAGCCAUGUAGCUGAGGAUGGCCUGAACUCCUUAUUCUCCCGACAACAGCUCCUAAUCAGUUUCAUCAAUUUUUGUUGGGUUUGUCUCACUGAAGAACUUUGAACCGGACCCUAGUGAGCGGGGCUGUAGUGAGAGCCGGAGAGAUGGCUCAGCGGUUAAGAGCACUGACUGUUCUCCCAGAGGUCCUGAUUUCAAAU